rnacentral:rRNA from 1 species
UGCGGUUUAAUUGGAUUCAACGCGGAAUCUCACCGGGGCGACAGCAAUAUGAAGGUCAGGCUGAAGACCUUACCGGAUUAGCUGAGAGGUGGUGCAUGGCCGUCGUCAGUUCGUACUGUGAAGCAUCCUGUUAAGUCAGGCAACGAGCGAGACCCACGUCCACAGUUGCCAGCAUACCCUCCGGGGUGAUGGGUACACUGUGGAGACCGCCGCUGCUAAGGCGGAGGAAGGAAUGGGCAACGGUAGGUCAGUAUGCCCCGAAUCUCCCGGGCUACACGCGGGCUACAAUGGUUGGUACAAUGGGCAUCUACCCCGAAAGGGGAAGGAAAUCUCUUAAAGCCAAUCGUAGUUCGGAUUGAGGGCUGCAACUCGCCCUCAUGAAGCUGGAAUCCGUAGUAAUCGCGUUUCAACAGAACGCGGUGAAUACGUCCCUGCUCCUU